GGUCAGAGGCAAAGUUCCUUUUCCAGAAGAUCUGUACCAACGUGGAAAGCCAGAAUUGAAAGGACCUUCCCCUGCUGGGCAGGAAUUUCAGAGAUUCCCAUGGGAAGGGACCAGGAUUAUCUGGUUCCACAUCACAGGAACUGCAAAGGAGGGCCUACAAAAGGUGAAUUUUAACGAGCAACCAACCUCAUGGAGGCAUCUGAAUCACACCCCCAGAGCUGCUGCCAAGAUCUCCAUUAGGAGGUUUGUGUUUCCUUCCAACAUUAAAGAAUCUCUCUAACAUCUGUAGCGAUGAGCAGUGAAGAGUGUCAGCUCUGCUUCUGAAACAAGCAGUGCCACCAUCUGAAGGAGGAAAAUGUGAAAUAAUGAAUAUGCUUCUGCAGAUCAGGCUGCUGUGUGUGCCAGGGGAUGUGCAAAGCCUCGUGCCAGGCUUGAUCUCCAGAUUUCCCCUCUCCACCUCUAAGGAGGGCAGGUAAGUAUGUAAAACUUGGAGAAGGCAUUGCCCAGAAUGUGAACCCUGGCACAGAGAGCCACAGAGCACUGCAAGGGAU
rnacentral:lncRNA from 1 species